UGGCGGGUUUCAACCCAGCCCAACUACGACCCUGCAAGUUCUAGUCUUUUCACUUACAUUCUUAGGGCAAGUAUUUGAACUUCCUUCAGGCUUCAGCUUCUUUCUUUGGCUCCAAAUAACUUGGUGGAUGGAUACCCACUUAUUUUAAAUUUCGUUUCUUAUUCUCUUCAUAAUAAAUUACAGUAAAUAAACUUGAUUAAGUUCAUCAAUAAUGGGUUAUGUUUCCAGCUUGCUGGCAAAUUGCCCAGGUUCAAUAUCUUACUCUUUCUUUUCCUUUUAUCAAAAUUUUCAUUCUUUACUUCUCAUCAUAUCCGCUUCUCUGUUUCAACCGCUUUGCUUCAUCCUGCUCGGCCGAUUAAACUGCCGUUCCCAUCUCGGCGAUGUAACAGCAUCAAUUUUUUCCAUCGCAAGUGAAAGAGCCCAUAAUUGAAUUUUGAAAUUUUGUUUUGUAGAUUUUUAUGAUAGCAAUUGGAUAUUGUGUGGAAUAGCGAUUAGGCUAUGAACGUGUUAAUUCUGUGGGGAGAGAUUAUCAGCAUCGAAUAAGUUUUGAUGAUGACGUUCCUGAAGAACCCCUUUUGUUAACUGGCAUCAAGGAAGCCAUUUGGGCUUUGAGAUCUUUAUUUGUAUUUCUGGUUGAGCAGCCUAGUCAGCUGAAGUACAUAGGGUGGCCAUGCUUUCAAAAUACAUGAAUGCUUGUAGAGUUUGUAAUCUGGGUUUUUCCUGUGCAGCUGAAGACUGCCACUUUUACUCUAGUUCUUUUAGCAGUGCUUAUUGUUGCAUUAUCAUCAACAGACUCUUUCCUCAGCUAUUUGCUGGGUUUGCUUCAGAGGAGAACCCCAUGAAGGAAUGUACCAGUUUUGCAAUUAUUUGUCAUAAUUUGAUUGAUAAUUUAUUGAUAGUGUACUAUUCUUCUCCAACCUCAAUUGUUCAUCGGUACAAUAAGGUUGAAUGUUUUCUGCCAAGGCUGCAAAGUCUGGCAUUUUAAGUGUAAACUUUAUGGAUCUGCUAGGAUGAUGAAGCUUGACUGUUGAAGCGGCAUCUUGUUUUCUGAUGUGAGAUUAAGCUAUAUUGGGAGCUCUGUUUUACUUACCAAGGUUGAAACAAAUAAGGUUGAAAGAUUUUUAGUGUA